GAAGAAGAGGCGCUAUAUCAAGCCAUUGCUAUUGUAACCAACCUUCUUCUCAGGAUGGAAGAAGUUGGAAGGAAACUCCAUAGCCCGGCGUCAUCAGCCAAAGGACUGUCCAGUGUAGCCUGUGAUUCUGGACCCAGUGAGGGAAACACAGAGAGCAGUGUGAAGAAAGAUCCUUCCUCUCCCAGAGAAGAACAUCAGUGGUCCUUUGCAUUCGAGCAGAUUCUUGCUUCCCUGUUAAACGAACCGGCCCUGGUGAGGUUUUUUGAGAGACCCUUAGAUUUAAAAGCCAAGCUAGAAAAGGCGAAAAGCUCCCAGUUAAGGUCUAGAACCAAGAUGUAAAUCUCUGCCGUCCUCCGGUUUGCUAAGAUUCCUGUUCUAUCAGCCUGGCUCCUGGGAAUACUUCUCAGGAAUAGAUUGCAUUACCAAUGUGCUCCGGGGCAGAAGAGAAAGACACUCAGAAGCACAAUGGUUCAUUGCUUUGUAUUAAUUGCACUUUAAAAAAUUCUCCCACUCUAUGUCACAAGAUAAGCAUCAUCAGGGUCACAUGCUCCGUGGAACCACCAGAGGGCGCCACCAUAUCACUUUAGUGAGUCACUCACAAGUUUGUACUGCUGUUUCCAUGAGAUUACUGGUGUUUCAAAAGGUGAUGAUGUAUUUAUUUUAAUGCUGUCAUAGCAUAUUGGUAAGCUUUGUUUUUCAAAUCGCCCCAGUCCUAUAAAACCACCUUAGAAAACUGGACUUCAGAACUAUAGCCUUAAUUAUCUAGGAAGUUGCCUUUUAGGGCCCUGAU
rnacentral:lncRNA from 1 species